UACAAGUGUAGCAGGUAUAUAAGUUAUAUUGUAUGCAUUCCACCAAAAAUCCCUCACGUUUUAUUUGAUUUCUCUAUAAUAUCCAUUGUCACUUUUAUUUUGUCAGUUUUUUAGGAAAUAGUUCGUUUUGGGAGAAUUUGUCAUUUUAUUUUGAAAUCCUACCUUCUUCCGGAAGUGACGUUGAGUCCUCACUCGUUGCUGAGACAUGCGUGAGGAAACUGGUUUGCUGCUGAGUCCUGUGUUAACGCUGCCGCACUGUUUCCUGUAUAUUUCAUACAGGUAUGUUUCUGUUGCUCCCAAAACUUUAUUCUAUUUUUCUGUACUGUUAUAUUUAUUAUUAAUUUUCCUAUUGUAUAAAUCAUUUCACGGUGGUGUAUUCAUUUUCAGUGUAUUUGUAAAUGUGAUGUAUAGGUUUUGUGAUAAAUGUGAAUGUUUCAUAUAACAUUUUUGUUCAUUUAAACUGACUCGUUGCUGAGACAUGCGUGAGGAAACUGGUUUGCUGCUGAGUCCUGUGUUAACGCUGCCGCACUGUUUCCUGUUUCAUACAGGUAAAAAUAAAUAUGCCACCUGUUUCGGCUAAAGGCAACCACAGAGUCCUCUUGUCUUCAAAGCAACUACACAACGCAGACUCGAACCGGCUACACAAGGAAAUGGGAUAAAAUUGCUAUGAUAUGAAAAGGGGUUGGAUUAAAUAAGCUCUGCUUCUUCCUACUCCUUUUCGGACGUGCUGUAAUGAAACAACUGGAAAUAUGUGAUGCAUCACAUUGUAUCGUAUGCAUGUUCAAAAUAAACUGAAACUAAAUUGAAAAUCAUAAUAA